CUACGGGUGGCAGCAGUGAGGAAUAUUGGUCAAUGGGCGCGAGCCUGACCCAGCCAUCCCGCGUGCAGGAUGACGGCCCUAUGGGUUGUAAACUGCUUUUCUAUGCCAAGAAACCUGAUUACGUGUAAUCAGUUGCCGGUAGCAUAGGAAUAAGCAUCGGCUAACUCCGUGCCAGCAGCCGCGGUAAUACGGAGGAUGCAAGCGUUAUCCGGAUUCAUUGGGUUUAAAGGGUGCGCAGGUGGGCUUGUAAGUCAGUGGUGAAAUGCUGCCGCUUAAAGGUAGAACUGCCAUUGAUACUGCGAGUCUUGAGUAUGGUUGAGGUAGGCGGAAUGUGUUGUGUAGCGGUGAGAUGCAUAGAUAUGACACAGAACGCCAAUUGCGAAGGCAGCUUACUAAGCCAUUACUGACGCUGAGGCACGAAAGCGUGGGGAGCUAACAGGAUUAGAUACCCGUGUAGUC
rnacentral:rRNA from 1 species